rnacentral:lncRNA from 1 species
UUGGUCAGUUAAUGUUUAAUUUUAAUAAUACCUGUUAUGUUUAAAGAGUCAACAACACAUGAGGAAAUGUCUUCUAUGAAUGUUUACAUGGGUGAACACAUGCUUUAAAUAUGCAGUGGAGGAGAGGUGCAUUCAGUUAACAAAGUUUAAAAGAAAAUCCCUCAUUAUCAAUUACACAAAGCAUAUAAAAAUAUUUCUCUGAAUGCAUAGAUUAAGACUCGGAACUCCCCUAAGAGCAACCAUGCAGUUUCAUCCCACUGCCAGAGACACUGACCCCAGAGGACUGUGGCAAAGGACAGGACACUGGGCAGAGCCAUGGGGGACAUGACCUUUGGUCACUCUGAAGUGCUCGAUUGCUCUUCUGUCAUCCACCUCCCAGCCAAAUCCCACUGCUUCUCAGAAUCUCUAAUCAACUAGGGUGGCUGAAGGAGUCUGAACCCCAGUAAUUUAGACAUGAAUUAAUACUGAGUUUAUUUCUUCCAAGAUAGAAUCACAGUUAACUGAAUUACUAAAGUUUUUCAAAGCAAAUUAGAGGAAAAAAAGUUAGUACACUAAGUAGUAGUUGGUUGAAACACAAGGGAGGUGUCUUCAGUAAAGCACUUGGGGAAAGGGUGAUGAGCAACGGCCACUCUGCUAUGCAGACGCUCUACGGGGGGUCACCAGCUGUGCCAGGGGUGGGUACCAUGCAGUCACUCCACAGUGACCCCAUGACACUAGCUUUGAAGAACACUCAAGCUCAUUUCGGCACUCAGGCGGCAGUGGGAGGCCAUUACCUCAGCACAAUGCUCUCUUCCAGUGCAUCUGCAUGUUUCCAGUCAACUGCAGUGUUCUAAUAAAAUUAAUACCCAGGAAGUUAAGUUUCUUUGGAAACUAUAGGCACUAUGGGGAAAAAGCUUAAGACAGCAGGGAUCCUGGUCAACCCUACUCCAGCCCUGCUCUCCUGCUCCUCUAUGUGGGCCAGGUCCUUUGUAAAGUUAAGCAAACAGAGGCUUGUCAACCUUAAUGAUGCCAAGGAGGGGAAGACUCUUGAAUGACUCUUGGAGAAGAUUCGUACC